UUAUUUUCACAAUCUCCCCCUUUUUGAUGAUGACAACCAAUCUUUAUGUUUGAACAUAAAAACCCCCUAUCUCUUAAAAGCAAAGCUUGGAAAAACUCCCACUAUCUCUUGAAAGCAAAGCUUGGAAAAACUACCCCUAUCUAUAAUAUGACUUGCUUUGAGAUUUUCUGCAUUAAGUUAGAGAGUAAAGCACACACAACCAAGCAUACAAUCUUCUCC
rnacentral:lncRNA from 1 species